GUGAUAAAGUGUCAGUAAGUGCAGCCCCUCCUCUCUCAGCGUCUCCGUAGAGCAGCAGACGGACCAGCAGCAGGAAGUAGGCGGGCUCAGCUUCAGGCUCUCAGCUUCAGUGAAACAUGGUCAGAUCACUGAGAAGAACAAUGGAAGGCACAUCUCACUGUCUGAUCUUUCUGAUCUUGUUGCUGAGCUGCUCAACAGAUCCAGUUCUCCCAGUUCAUCUGACUGUGAAUCCCAGCAGAUCUCAGUUCUUUAAGGAUGAAUCAGUGACUCUGAUCUGUGAGGAUGAAAACAGAUCUGAUGGAUGGAUUGUGAGGAGAAACACAACCGGAGGAACCAGGAAGAGAUGUGGAGAUGAAUUUGGUAAUCCAGGUAGUUCUCC